AAGUCGAGGGGCAGCAUGGGUCUUCGGACCUGAUGGCGACCGGCGGACGGGUGCGUAACGCGUAUGCAACUUUCCAACAACAGGAAGAUAGCCCGGAGAAAUUCGGAUUAAUAUUCCAUAAAACAGGGGUACUGCCUGGUACUAUUUGUUAAAGACUUCGGUCGGUUGUAGAUGGACAUGCGUCUGAUUAGGUAGUUGGUGAGGUAACGGCUCACCAAGCCAACGAUCAGUAGGGGGUUUGAGAGGAUGAUCCCCCACACUGGAACUGAGACACGGUCCAGACUCCUACGGGAGGCAGCAGUAGGGAAUAUUGGUCAAUGGAGGAAACUCUGAACCAGCCACGCCGCGUGUAGGAAGAAUGUCCUUAGGAUUGUAAACUACUUUUAUCAGGGAAGAAUGACGAGCAUGCGUGCUCGGAGCGACGGUACCUGAGGAAUAAGCACCGGCUAACUACGUGCCAGCAGCCGCGGUAAUACGUAGGGUGCAAGCGUUAUCCGGAAUUACUGGGUUUAAAGGGUGUGUAGGCGGUCUUUUAAGUCUGUGGUGAAAGGUUACAGCUCAACUGUAAAAGUGCCAUGGAUACUGGAAGACUUGAGUAUUAUAAAGGAAGGUGGAAUUCGUGGUGUAGCGGUGAAAUGCAUAGAUACCACGAGGAAGGCCGAUUGCGAAGGCAGCUUUCUGGAUAAUAACUGACGCUAAAACACGAAAGCGUGGGGAGCGAACAGGAUUAGAUACCCUGGUAGUCCACGCCGUAAACGAUGGAUACUCGGUGUGUGGUGUCUUCGGACUGCGUGCCUUAGCGAAAGCGUUAAGUAUCCCACCUGGGGAGUACGUCGGCAACGAUGAAACUCAAAGGAAUUGACGGGGGUCCGCACAAGCGGUGGAGUAUGUGGUUUAAUUCGAUGAUACGCGAGGAACCUUACCUAGGCUCGAAUUGUACUGGACGGUAUCAGAAAUGAACUGUUCUUCGGACAGGAGUGAAGGUGCUGCAUGGUUGUCGUCAGCUCGUGCCGUGAGGUGUUGGGUUAAGUCCCGCAACGAGCGCAACCUCUAGGUUUAGUUGCCAGCAAGUAAUGGUGGGGACUCUGGAAAGACUGCCGGCGUAAGCCGUGAGGAAGGUGGGGACGACGUCAAAUCAUCAUGGCCUUUAUGCCUAGGGCUACACACGUGCUACAAUGGCGGGUACAGAGGGUAGCGAAACCGCGAGGUGGAGCCAAUCCCAGAAAGCCCGUCCCAGUUCGGAUUGGAGUCUGCAACUCGACUCCAUGAAGGUGGAAUCGCUAGUAAUCGCGUAUCAGCCAUGACGCGGUGAAUACGUUCCCGGACCUUGUACACACCGCCCGUCAAGCCAUGGAAGCUGGGGGUACCUGAAGAUGGUGACUUUAUAAGAGC
rnacentral:rRNA from 1 species